rnacentral:lncRNA from 1 species
AAUUAACAAGGCCCAAUUUGCUAUUUGGCAGAUCUCAACACUGUAGAAGCUGACCAUUUGAAAUGCAUCGUAUGGUCAAUGUCUUCGAAGAACAAUGGAACAGGAAGGCAAUGGAUGGAUAAUGUGUUUAAAGUCUUCAUGGAGCAUAAAAAUACUUGCUGUCAACAUUGCCAUUCCUGGUCUCUGUUCAUCAACGCCCCCCAUCUUAAGCCACUCCACAGGCACUUUUGGAGAAAAAAACAAACAAAAUCCCAUAAGAAGGUCUGUUGCCAGGGUGACUCGGGGACUAAGCACAGGGACUCACUGCACAGCUGCCCUGAGCAAACUUGCUGCCAUCACCAGGAACAUCAGAACAGAGACCUGGCUGGGCCGCUGCGAAGGAGCCCUUAAGACAGGGGAAGGACCUCUCUACUUUUGA